GGCUCGUUAGCUCAGUAGGUUAGAGCGCCGAUAUACAACAUCGGAGGACGAAGGUUCAAAUCCUUCACGAGCCA